AUGAUUCAGGUAGAGAAGGUCCUUUUACAAAAAGCCCUGCCUCAGAAAACAGCUCCACCCAGCCCCAAGGACAUAGUCUCCCGCUCUGGAUGGGAGAGUAGCUGGCAGAGGUCCCUGGAGCUGGUCCCUGAUGUGAUCUUGCAGGGACAUGGACUCAGCAAACAGUUCUGCCUCUCCCUGCUCCACACUCAGAAUCAAGGCGUCAAAGGCUGUGUAAACAGCCAGCAGCUGUACUUUGGGGAGGGUUCCAAGCUGAUUGUCCUGGGGCUGGGGGGCCGUGACUCACAGACCCAGUACUUCGGGCCGGGCACGCGGCUCCUGGUGCUAGGUGAGUGCGGGCGGGCGGGCACGGUUUCUGGGGGGAGCCCGGGGGCUGUGCUUCCAGCAGCCGCCCUGACCUUCGGGGCCGGCAGCCGGCUGGCCGUGCCGGAGGACCUGAGCCAGGUCAAACCACCCAAGGUGGCUGUGUUCGAGCCAUCGGAAGCAGAGAUCUCCCGGACCCAGAAGGCCACGCUCGUGUGCCUGGCCACAGGCUUCUACCCCGACCACGUGGAGCUGAGCUGGUGGGUGAACGGGAAGGAGGUCCAGAGCGGGGUCAGCACGGACCCGCAGCCCUACAGGGAGGACCCCAACCUCAGUGACUCCACCUACUGUCUGAGCAGCCGGCUGAGGGUCUCCGCUACCUUCUGGCACAACCCCCGCAACCACUUCCGCUGCCAAGUCCACUUCCACGGGCUCACGGACAAGGACCGGGACCAGUGGAAGGAGGGCUGGCCCAUGCCCGUCUCCCAGAACGUCAGUGCCGAGGCCUGGGGCCGAGCAGACUGUGGCUUCACCUCAGUGUCCUAUCAGCAAGGGGUCCUGUCUGCCACCCUCCUCUAUGAGAUCCUUCUGGGGAAGGCCACCCUGUAUGCUGUGCUGGUCAGCGCCCUCGUGCUCAUGGCCAUGGUUAAGAAAAAGGAUUCCUGAGACCAGCUCCAAAUAUGCACCCUGAGUUGUUCUUUAUCCUCGCGCUGGAUUCUCUUUCACAUGUAUCCAGUCAGUGUUCUUAGAGUUUCUCUCUCUCCACUCCUUAUCUCCUUCCUGCAGGGAUGUUGUCCCGUCUCUCAGCCUCCCUGCAAAGUGAGCUCAACACAGAAUUUGAAAUAGACUAAACCAAUAAAAGUGUCCCGGCAGGC